UCGUACAUUUGAUUUUGUACGUUUUGUCAUUUUCACCUAUUUCAUUUCAGCAAAGAUGGUUGUUGAUGCUUGCCUUGUUAUGCUACUACAAAUUUGUAGGACAAAUCAAACUUCACCAUACUCUAGAACAAAAAAGAUGAGCAACACGGCGGAGGUACACAAAAACGGCACCGACGUUGCCCAUAGACCGUCGUGGUGUCCAUGUCGAGGUCAGGUGCCAUCCCAUUGCUCGACAACCCUCCUGGAGUCCGGCACUGCUUAGUGUUGCCAUCGUUUAUGUCAAUUGUGAAAUAGAGCAGAGUUUUUGUCGUACGCGUUACUGUCCUUAGGGUACGAUUUAUCAUUCUCCAUCCCCUUGGAAGGUUCAGCAUUCUGAAUGAUCAGAACAAAAACAAUAUAGAAUUAGUGUGACGCUACUUAUGUAUGUUGGUACCAAGCUUGACGAUGUAUUGGUGUGCUACACUUGAUGACGGGUUGUGCAUGUAGCACACAAAGUGUAUGUGUAUUGUUGUGUGUAAUUUUCUUGAAUUUCAAUAAGAUGUGAAUUUCUUGUUUCAAAAA
rnacentral:lncRNA from 1 species